AAGAGGUGGAGCUAUGUCAUUCUUACAACUUUUCUCUUUGUAAAUUACCAUAUUCCUUCUGGGUAAGGAUGGCUUCUUCAUCCCUCUGUCUUCAAGGGCCACCCAUCUGAAUGCUCCCUUCACGGUUUUUCAUCAUUUAUUGAACGUCUGCCAAGUGAGCAUUCACAGAUGGCUAACACGCAGUGUUGAGAGUGGAGCAAGACAAUCUGAGUCACCUCGGAGAGUGCUAGGUUGGGAGAAGCAGAAGUUUGGGAGCCGAAGUCACCGUCUCUAGACCUUGGAUGUGUAGGAGAGUGGCUGGUAUCCUCACGUGGGCAGAGGGAUUGUCCCAGGGAAAGGAACACAGGUUGGUGAAAGUAAAUUAAAAUGGAUACUCAAACCCAUUAUGAAUGGGAAAGAGGCCAACCCAGUGGAGUGGAAGGUGACAAGCUGGAAGAAAGAGGAGAUAGGUUUUGCAAACAAUGAAUUCACAAGCGGUGUCACUUUUAGAUUCCACCAGCUUGCGGGGUCUGCAGAAAUGUCAGAAAAGACAGCAAAGUGGAGCAACUCACCACCAACAUGGCCCAAGAUGGGGCUUUAGAGCGUCUGGUGACCCUGUGCCUGGCUUUCCUUUUUGUGUUUCCUACAGUCCCUUCUGGAGAGGGAUGGAACCCACACAGGAUGGCUCAGGGCUGGCACCUCGGCCUGGAGGUGACGAAGGAGGACCAAAAGCUCCUUUCCAAGCUCUUAAGGCAGCCUGCAGCGCCUGCCUCUCUCACCCAGGAUGCUGGUUUUGUACACUGAAAAAACCACAAAACAAAACAAAAACAAAAAACAAAGCAACUGGUUUGCAAAUCAGGCAGGGCCAGCACCACCGUCUUGGAGUGGAAGAGUCUCUGCUGAGGUGAAGGCAGAAGGUGAAAUGAAUUGGUCAUUUAACCGGGGCCUGGGGAAAGUGAGCACCAUCGCGUGUGAGGUGAAUUCUGAAUGAGGCUCUUGGAGGGAGGCCCAAGGAAUCGAGAGAAUUGGCGGAGAAUUGGCAACCGUGUCUUUGUCAUUUUCAUCUGUUGCACGACGGUGCCCCAAACACCUUUGUUUCCUGUCUGUGCCGUGAGUCUCUCUGGCCAUGACCUUCACCGGGUCCAGUGAAGCAUUGUCUGCUCCCAGCCAGAGGAACCUGAGCCUCUCGGGCCACCGGCAUUUUCCUGCCUGACACGCGCCUGACAGCCUGACACGCAUCCGUCUGUGGCAUCGUCAUCAAAGGCAGCUUGCUUCUCUCCACAUUUUACUCUGUGCUUGUGAGUUCAGGUCUCUUGUUAUUUAUUUAUUUCAGUUUUUAAGUGUGUUGGUACUUGGCCUGCCUGUGUGUCUGUGUGAGGGAGUCACAGC
rnacentral:lncRNA from 1 species